rnacentral:misc_RNA from 1 species
GGUAAAAGUCGUAACAAGGUUUCCGUAGGUGAACCUGCGGAAGGAUCAUUAUUGUAUAACCGAGGUGCGAGGGCUGUCGCUGACCCGAAAGGUCGUGCACGCCCGAGUGCCCUCACACACAUCCAUCUCACCCCUAUGUGCACCACCGCGUGGGUCCCCCUUUGGCUUGUUCGGAGGGGGGCUUACGUUUUCACACAAACUUUGUAUGCAGUGUAGAAUGUAUUUUUUGUUUUUGCGAUCACGCAAUCAAUACAACUUUCAACAACGGAUCUCUUGGCUCUC